rnacentral:tRNA from 2 species
GCCCGGGUGGUGAAAUCGGUAGACACAAGGGAUUUAAAAUCCCUCGGCGGCAACGCCAUGCGAGUUCAAGUCUCGCCCCGGGCACCA